ensembl:snoRNA
AUGCACUAGGAUGCAAAAGAAAAUAAUCUCUGUACUUUCCAUCUUUGUGGCUGUCCACACUGAAUUGGGGAGUACAUAA